AACGAACGCUGGCGGCAGGCUUAACACAUGCAAGUCGAGCGCCCCGCAAGGGGAGCGGCAGACGGGUGAGUACCGCGUGGGAACGUACCUUUUGGUUCGGAACAACUCCGGGAAACUGGAGCCAAUACCGGAUAAGCCCUAACGGGGAAAGAUUUAUCGCCGAAAGAUCGGCCCGCGUCUGAUUAGCUAGUUGGUGAGGUAACGGCUCACCAAGGCGACGAUCAGUAGCUGGUCUGAGAGGAUGAUCAGCCACACUGGGACUGAGACACGGCCCAGACUCCUACGGGAGGCAGCAGUGGGGAAUAUUGGACAAUGGGCGCAAGCCUGAUCCAGCCAUGCCGCGUGAGUGAUGAAGGCCUUAGGGUUGUAAAGCUCUUUUGUCCGGGAAGAUAAUGACUGUACCGGAAGAAUAAGCCCCGGCUAACUUCGUG
rnacentral:rRNA from 1 species